AACGGGUGAGUAAUGCAUCGGAAUGUACCGUGUAAUGGGGGAUAGCUCGGCGAAAGCCGGAUUAAUACCGCAUACGCCCUGAGGGGGAAAGUGGGGGACCGUAAGGCCUCACGUUAUACGAGCAGCCGAUGUCUGAUUAGCUAGUUGGUGGGGUAAAGGCUCACCAAGGCUUCGAUCAGUAGCGGGUCUGAGAGGAUGAUCCGCCACACUGGGACUGAGACACGGCCCAGACUCCUACGGGAGGCAGCAGUGGGGAAUUUUGGACAAUGGGCGCAAGCCUGAUCCAGCCAUGCCGCGUGUCUGAAGAAGGCCUUCGGGUUGUAAAGGACUUUUGUCCGGGAGCAAAUCCCAGUGGUUAAUACCUACUGGGGCUGAGAGUACCGGAAGAAUAAGCACCGGCUAACUACGUGCCAGCAGCCGCGGUAAUACGUAGGGUGCAAGCGUUAAUCGGAAUUACUGGGCGUAAAGCGUGCGCAGGCGGUUGUGCAAGUCUGAUGUGAAAGCCCCGGGCUUAACCUGGGAACGGCAUUGGAGACUGCACGACUAGAGUG
rnacentral:rRNA from 1 species